UACGGGGGGGGCAAGCGUUGUUCGGAAUUACUGGGCGUAAAGGGCUCGUAGGUGGCCAACUAAGUCAGACGUGAAAUCCCUCAGCUUAACUGGGGAACUGCGUCUGAUACUGGAUGGCUUGAAUCCGGGAGAGGGAUGUGGAAUUCCAGGUGUAGCGGUGAAAUGCGCAGAUAUCAGGAGGAACACCAAUUGCGAAGGCAGCUCGCUGGGACGUUACUGACGCUGAGACGCGAAAGCGUGGGGAGCAAACAGG
rnacentral:rRNA from 1 species